rnacentral:lncRNA from 1 species
UGAGAAAUUCCGAGAAACCAAAAACCGAACUUCCCAAAAAUUCAUUAGUAAUUUCAUCAUAGAUUGCUCUAAUUAAACUGGACCAGCCCGGUUACUAUGAUCAACUUUUCCAAAGGGCACUACUAUGCUUUUAGCUGCAUACCAGAAAAAUAUCUGGCAGAUGUGACCCUAGUAGCAAAGGGGCCAUGGAAUAGAAACUUAGCUGGAUUGCGCAUGGAAAGGAGGAGAGGACCAGAGAGGGAAAUAUAAUUGGAGUCACUGAAUCGAGCUGGAGCUGCAUCGUCCUCCAACUGUUUGUUGUAAGGACUUCAUGUGAG